GGAGCAAGUCGCUUCCGGGAGUGGCCAACAAACUCCACGGAGAAAAUUACGUUAUCUGGAAGCAAUGUCAUUUAUGGAAAAAAUUCCAAAUUCAAGGCGUACUAUUAGCAGCAUAAGCGAAGAUUUUGAAAGUGUCCAAGACAAUAUAAUUAUAGAUCCUUUAGAGGCAUCCACAUCAUCGGCGACAAUAGAAACGUCUCAGCCGGCAUCUUCGGAUGGACGUGGACAAAAG